rnacentral:piRNA from 1 species
UAGCCUCUGCGGUCCUCCCCGUC